GAAUACAGGCAGAUGUGCAAUCGUUUCAGGAAAUGGGACCUGGCAACCUUCACAGUAUCACGUCUGUGCAGUGACCAUUUCAUCAAAGGUGCCAAAUCUGAUGACCUGCUGUCCCCUGAUUGGGUUCCAUCUGUCUUCUCUCACACCCCUGCCACCAAAAGGAGGAAGAGGGAGAAAGACAUGGAAAGCUUGUCCCAUCAUUUCUAUUUUGGCCACAGAGAGAAGAGCUUCGGCUGUCAAUGCCCAUGAUAUUUAGACAAACUUACCCUAGAUGUGCCUGCAUAAUUAGUUAAUAGAAAAACCCAAAGACUUAGAAGCAAGAGCACAAACAUAUUCGACCUAUAAGCACCCUCAAUCAUUCCUUCUGGUUAAAUACUACAAUAAUACAAUGUAAAUAUGCAAUGAUUUAUUUAUACAAACACACACUGUAAAUAAUAAUAAU